rnacentral:lncRNA from 1 species
UUACCCUAUAAUCUAGAAGUGCAUGUUUUCAAGGAGAUGAUCAUCAUUACAAAGAUUACACCCAAUCUCCUCUCUCCUCUCUCUAAAAAUCGGUUCAUACCCCCUUCCCCUCUCACCAUAACUGAAAUUCAUCAUCUCCUACCUUCACAACUUCAUCUCUUUCACUAGUAAACCCUAUUCCAAGCUCCAAGGCCCUCCAUAGAAGCAAGAAGUUGAAGUGCUCUCAAGAAGCUUUGUUCAAGGCUUUUCUCACCAUCAUUUCUUGUCAUCUCAUCCUAAGAUUACAACCCUAGCCUUGUGCUAGUAUCGAGAAAAUGAUUUUUUGUAAAAUAUGGGUAGUCGUGUUCGCUGAGGAGAUUUGGGUUACGAGUACCGAAGACGCAAUAUUGUGA